AACUCCGACUCCGGAGGAGAGGCCUCAUCCUCCCGAACACGAUAAUCACAGAAUUCAAACCCUUGCGGGCACUGGACACCAGUUCUUAAGAAGACUUGUUGAGACCAACCGAAUUGCCCAUGAGGGGCAGACAAUUACCCCUGACCUCCCACCCCACCAGGAGAGGUGGUAGCCACUGAGCUUUAUGCUUUUAUUUGUU
rnacentral:lncRNA from 1 species